UACGUAGGGUGCGAGCGUUGUCCGGAAUUACUGGGCGUAAAGAGCUCGUAGGUGGUUUGUCGCGUUGUCCGUGAAAACUCACAACUCAAUUGUGGGCGUGCGGGCGAUACGGGCAGACUGGAGUACUGCAGGGGAGACUGGAAUUCCUGGUGUAGGCGGUGGAAUGCGCAGAUAUCAGGAGGAACACCGGUGGCGAAGGCGGGUCUCUGGGCCGAUACUGACGCUGGAGGAGCGAAAGCCGUGGGGAGCAAACAGG
rnacentral:rRNA from 1 species